CCAAAAUGAUCCAUAGCCGCCCGCUUGUUUAAAUUUAUAAGAUUUUCCACAAUAAUUGCAAAUUACAUCGUACAUUUUCUCACCUUUGAAUUUUUUUGUGAAAUGAAUGGCGAAUACGUCGGAACUUUGUCUUGCUCUUGCAAAAAUUUGUGCUCGUUGCUCUUGCUCUUGCUCUUCAUCUUCUUGUAAUUGCUCAUUGAUUUCAGAUUCUUGAGUUGGAAUUUGCAAAUUUUCAUUUGGAUAACCCUCAAAAUUAAAUUGGUCGGGAAUCAUAUCAUAGAUGUCGUUUGUAGGGAUAAAUGAUUCUCCAAUCUUUCC
rnacentral:lncRNA from 1 species